rnacentral:rRNA from 1 species
GACGAACGCUGGCGGCGUGCUUAACACAUGCAAGUCGAACGGGAAGGCCCUGCUUUUGUGGGGUGCUCGAGUGGCGAACGGGUGAGUAACACGUGAGUAACCUGCCCUUGACUUUGGGAUAACUUCAGGAAACUGGGGCUAAUACCGGAUAGGAGCUCCUGCUGCACGGUGGGGGUUGGAAAGUUUCGGCGGUUGGGGAUGGACUCGCGGCUUAUCAGCUUGUUGGUGGGGUAGUGGCUUACCAAGGCUUUGACGGGUAGCCGGCCUGAGAGGGUGACCGGCCACAUUGGGACUGAGAUACGGCCCAGACUCCUACGGGAGGCAGCAGUGGGGAAUAUUGCACAAUGGGCGGAAGCCUGAUGCAGCAACGCCGCGUGCGGGAUGACGGCCUUCGGGUUGUAAACCGCUUUCGCCUGUGACGAAGCGUGAGUGACGGUAAUGGGUAAAGAAGCACCGGCUAACUACGUG